rnacentral:rRNA from 1 species
AUACGUAGGGGGCGAGCGUUGUCCGGAAUGAUUGGGCGUAAAGGGCGCGUAGGCGGCCCGGUAAGUCUGGAGUGAAAGUCCUGUUUUUAAGAUGGGAAUUGCUUUGGAUACUGUCGGGCUUGAGUGCAGGAGAGGUAAGUGGAAUUCCCAGUGUAGCGGUGAAAUGCGUAGAGAUUGGGAGGAACACCAGUGGCGAAGGCGACUUACUGGACUGUAACUGACGCUGAGGCGCGAAAGUGUGGUGAGCAAACAGGAUUAGAUACCCUGGUAGUCCACGCGGUAAACGAUGAAUGCUAGGUGUUGCGGGUAUCGACCCCUGCAGUGCCGGAGUAAACACAAUAAGCAUUCCGCCUGGGGAGUACGGCCGCAAGGUUGAAACUUAAAGGAAUUUACGGGG